rnacentral:rRNA from 2 species
CGGGCUGGAAUCUCUCGGGGUUACAGCCUUGCUGAAUUAUUCACCCUUGUCUUUUGCGUACUUCUUGUUUCCUUGGUGGGUUCGCCCACCACUAGGACAAACAUAAACCUUUUGUAAUUGCAAUCAGCGUCAGUAACAAAUUAAUAAUUACAACUUUCAACAACGGAUCUCUUGGUUCUGGCAUCGAUGAAGAACGCAGCGAAAUGCGAUAAGUAGUGUGAAUUGCAGAAUUCAGUGAAUCAUCGAAUCUUUGAACGCACAUUGCGCCCUUUGGUAUUCCAAAGGGCAUGCCUGUUCGAGCGUCAUUUGUACCCUCAAGCUUUGCUUGGUGUUGGGCGUCUUGUCUCUAGCUUUGCUGGAGACUCGCCUUAAAGUAAUUGGCAGCCGGCCUACUGGUUUCGGAGCGCAGCACAAGUCGCACUCUCUAUCAGCAAAGGUCUAGCAUCCAUUAAGCCUUUUUUCAACUUUUGACCUCGGAUCAGGUAGGGAUACCCGCUGAACUUAAGCAU